rnacentral:rRNA from 1 species
AACGUUGACCCGUAAUCCGGGUUGCGGACAGUGUCUGGUGGGUAGUUUGACUGGGGCGGUCUCCUCCUAAAGAGUAACGGAGGAGCACGAAGGUUGGCUAAUCCUGGUCGGACAUCAGGAGGUUAGUGCAAUGGCAUAAGCCAGCUUGACUGCGAGCGUGACGGCGCGAGCAGGUGCGAAAGCAGGUCAUAGUGAUCCGGUGGUUCUGAAUGGAAGGGCCAUCGCUCAACGGAUAAAAGGUACUCCGGGGAUAACAGGCUGAUACCGCCCAAGAGUUCAUAUCGACGGCGGUGUUUGGCACCUCGAUGUCGGCUCAUCACAUCCUGGGGCUGAAGUAGGUCCCAAGGGUAUGGCUGUUCGCCAUUUAAAGUGGUACGCGAGCUGGGUUUAGAACGUCGUGAGACAGUUCGGUCCCUAUCUGCCGUGGGCGCUGGAGAACUGAGGGGGGCUGCUCCUAGUACGA